CUACGGGUGGCAGCAGUGGGGAAUAUUGGACAAUGGGCGAAAGCCUGAUCCAGCCAUGCCGCGUGUGUGAAGAAGGCCUUCGGGUUGUAAAGCACUUUCAGUGGGGAAGAAAGCCUUGGGGCUAAUACCCUCGAGGAAGGACAUCACCCACAGAAGAAGCACCGGCUAACUCCGUGCCAGCAGCCGCGGUAAUACGGAGGGUGCGAGCGUUAAUCGGAAUUACUGGGCGUAAAGCGCGCGUAGGCGGUCUGAUAAGCCGGUUGUGAAAGCCCCGGGCUCAACCUGGGAACGGCAUCCGGAACUGUCAGGCUAGAGUGCAGGAGAGGAAGGUAGAAUUCCCGGUGUAGCGGUGAAAUGCGUAGAGAUCGGGAGGAAUACCAGUGGCGAAGGCGGCCUUCUGGACUGACACUGACGCUGAGGUGCGAAAGCGUGGGUAGCAAACAGGAUUAGAUACCCCUGAGU
rnacentral:rRNA from 1 species